GUCCGUAACUCUCCCUGCCAUAGACACAGAACUAGGAGGAAUGGGAAAUUUCAAAGGAUAUACCUUUGAAUUAACCUUAUGGGAGAAGUGGGAAACCUGUUGCUUUUUCCUUUCUUGACUCCACGGUCAUUUUUUGCCUGAACAAUGCAAUCAGUGCUGAGGACUCCACUCUCAAACUGGACAUCAGAGUUCAAGAAAUCUAAAUAAAAAUGGUUUCCUUUUUUGCAGUCA